rnacentral:rRNA from 1 species
UCCUACGGGACGCAGCAGUGGGGAAUAUUGGGCAAUGGGCGCAAGCCUGACCCAGCAACGCCGCGUGAAGGAAGAAGGCUUUCGGGUUGUAAACUUCUUUUGUCAGGGACGAAGCAAGUGACGGUACCUGACGAAUAAGCCACGGCUAACUACGUGCCAGCAGCCGCGGUAAUACGUAGGUGGCAAGCGUUGUCCGGAAUUACUGGGCGUAAAGGGCGCGUAGGUGGGCGCUUAAGUCAGGUGUGAAAACUCCGGGCUCAACCUGGAGACUGCACUUGAAACUGGGUGUCUUGAGGGCAGGAGAG